rnacentral:lncRNA from 13 species
AUGGAAGUUCACGUUCAGUUUCAUUCAGUGGAUCCCGGACUGGAACUUUCCUCCGCGGGGAAUGGGUCAUGUCUUCAGGAGUGGCAGCAGCCUCUGCUGGAGGAGAAGGAAGACUCAAGCCCAGGCUCCAUUAGGACCAAGAGUGGCAGGCAGCCCCUGCUGCAGGAGGAAGGCCCAGACUCCUUAAGGACCAGGGGAGGCAGGCAACGUGUCCUUCCCCAGCCACGGCCCUGUCUGAGCCACUCCUCAUCCUGGAGUUCCUCCCUGGCUAGCAGCCUUCACACUGGAGACGCUGAGACAGAUCACGACUCUGGUGAGUGAGUCACUCAUGCUGCACGUUAGACCUCUGACAACAUAUCUCUUGCAUAAACCUCUCUCUGUGCAGUUCCAGGUAGUUUUGGUUAUCAUUGUACAGAGAUUAAGACUGGUGAGUUUCUCAUAGAUAGCUGACUGUCACAGUGGGACAGUGGGACUUUCCUCUGUAGCCAAAGCAUAAUCCAGAUAUAGUCCAGAUAUAGUCCAGGUAUAGUCCAGACAUAAUCCAGAUAUAGUCCAGAUAUAGUCCAGACAUAAUCCAGAUAUAGUCCAGACAUAGUCCAGGUAUAGUCCAGAUAUAGUCCAGACAUAGUCCAGAUAUAGUCCAGACAUAGUCCAGGUAUAGUCCAGAUAUAGUCCAGACAUAGUCCAGAUAUAGUCCAGACAUAGUCCAGACAUAAUCCAGAUAUAGUCCAGGUAUAGUCCAGAUAUAGUCCAGGUUUAAGCAUUGUCAGGUAUGGGUUAACGUUGAGAAUAUGUAAAAAUUAAAGUUGAUUUGCAUUUUGUUCAUUUGAAAUGCAAAGAAACACCCUCCUGGUCAUUGGUUAACACGACAUGAAUACUGGUGGUAGGUUAACACGACAUGAAUACUGGUGGUAGGUUAACACGACAUGAAUACUGGUGGUAGGUUAACACGACAUGAAUACUGGUGGUAGGUUAACACAAGACAUGAAUACUGGUGGUAGGUUAACACAAGACAUGAAUACUGGUGGUAGGUUAACACAAGACAUGAAUACUGGUGG